AACUUAUCAUGAGAAGCGGAGGGACUGGCCCUGUGAAGCUUCAGCAACCGGUGCAAUGAUUCAAUUCAUUCAUGACCAAGGUGCUAAAUCCAGCAAGCGUACUUGCUUGAAAGAUAAGGA
rnacentral:ncRNA from 1 species